CUGCUUAAGAAAUGACAUAUGGAGAUUUAGACGCUCUUCUGUUCGACGUUAACAAAACUACUGAGCUUUAAGAGUUACCUUUUAUCUGUGAAAAACUAGUAAUGAAAUGAAAUGCCUUUAAUGAACCAUGGAUGUCAUAUAACUCAUUUUGCAAGAAAAAAACAACUCUUAUGUUUGUGCUGUAUUUUUGCAUCAUCUUUUCCAGAAGGUAUCUGCACAAAUCUGUAACCACUGUCUUGUGAUCCUGUUUGCUUCAGUUGUGUUCAGUCAUCCAGUCCUUUCCUGCUACACUUGCAAGAGGAAGCAAGCAAAACAUGAAUGAAAAGUCCCACUGGGCUGUUGAAGACUGGAACACCUGCAAAAAUUUGCGGCAAUAACCCCAGGGCACUUAGGACUUUGCAGAAAGAGGAAGGAAGCAGCAUGGAGGCUGAGAGCAAGGAGUACAACAUCU
rnacentral:lncRNA from 1 species